GUAGGUGAACCUGCGGAAGGAUCAUUAACGCGAUAGCUGCCGCCCGUGUGCAAGCAUGGGCGGAUAAGGCUAGCCGUCCUUGUGCUGUGUUGACGUUGCUUGCCCACCCGCACCCGUAAGGGGAAGAGUGGGCGCUGGCAUUUUCACCCAUAUUUUCACCAUGUUUUUCUAACCAACUGCUCGCAAGAGCACAACAAUCGAAAACUGCCAGCAACGGAUCACUCGGUUCUC
rnacentral:misc_RNA from 1 species